rnacentral:rRNA from 1 species
GAUGAACGCUGGCGGCGUGCCUAAUACAUGCAAGUCGAGCGAACAGACGAGGAGCUUGCUCCUCUGACGUUAGCGGCGGACGGGUGAGUAACACGUGGAUAACCUACCUAUAAGACUGGGAUAACUUCGGGAAACCGGAGCUAAUACCGGAUAAUAUAUUGAACCGCAUGGUUCAAUAGUGAAAGACGGUUUUGCUGUCACUUAUAGAUGGUUCCGCGCCGCAUUAGCUAGUUGGUAAGGUAACGGCUUACCAAGGCGACGAUGCGUAGCCGACCUGAGAGGGUGAUCGGCCACACUGGAACUGAGACACGGUCCAGACUCCUACGGGAGGCAGCAGUAGGGAAUCUUCCGCAAUGGGCGAAAGCCUGACGGAGCCACGCCGCGUGAGUGAUGAAGGUCUUCGGAUCGUAAAACUCUGUUAUUAGGGAAGAACAACUGUGUAAGUAACUAUGCACGUCUUGACGGUACCUAAUCAGAAAGCCACGGCUAACUACGUG